UAGGGAAUCUUCCGCAAUGGGCGAAAGCCUGACGGAGCAACGCCGCGUGAGUGAUGAAGGUUUUCGGAUCGUAAAGCUCUGUUGCCAAGGAAGAACGUCUUCUAGAGUAACUGCUAGGAGAGUGACGGUACUUGAGAAGAAAGCCCCGGCUAACUACGUGCCAGCAGCCGCGGUAAUACGUAGGGGGCAAGCGUUGUCCGGAAUUAUUGGGCGUAAAGCGCGCGCAGGCGGUUCUUUAAGUCUGGUGUUUAAACCCGAGGCUCAACUUCGGGUCGCACUGGAAACUGGGGGACUUGAGUGCAGAAGAGGAGAGUGGAAUUCCACGUGUAGCGGUGAAAUGCGUAGAUAUGUGGAGGAACACCAGUGGCGAAGGCGACUCUCUGGGCUGUAACUGACGCUGAGGCGCGAAAGCGUGGGGAGCAAACA
rnacentral:rRNA from 1 species